UACGUAGGGUGCAAGCGUUGUCCGGAAUUAUUGGGCGUAAAGAGCUCGUAGGCGGUCUGUCGCGUCGGCUGUGAAAACCCGGAGCUCAACUCCGGGCCUGCAGUCGAUACGGGCAGGCUGGAGUUCGGCAGGGGAGACUGGAAUUCCUGGUGUAGCGGUGAAAUGCGCAGAUAUCAGGAGGAACACCGGUGGCGAAGGCGGGUCUCUGGGCCGAUACUGACGCUGAGGAGCGAAAGCGUGGGGAGCGAACAGG
rnacentral:rRNA from 1 species